CGUCGCUCCAGCCUCAUCAUCGCCGUCACUCGCAUCGUCGCCAGUCGCAUCACUUGUAUAAGCUUUUAUUCCCAACAAUAGAUGCUACGCACCCAUAUUCGAAGCUUGGACUUGGGGACAUAGUUAUCCUAGACAUUUUUGUAGCACUGGCAUUGUGUUUUGGUGUCUCCAGGGGGAAAAGCAAGCCAGCAUUUCAAGAGUGCUUUUCUCGAAUACAUGGUUGGUUUUGUCCUUACCAUUAUAGUCAAGAAUUGGUUCCAAGCUGCACAGGUGUGUAGCUUUUGCCUUUGCCAUUAUAUAACUGGUCAUUGCCUUAGCCAUUUAAGGUUUAAUUUUGUUAUUUUACUCUGUAGUUGGAUCAUUUCUAUUCCUUUUUCCCCCCCCAACUAUUCUAAGGCUUAUAUACAUUUUAUUUACGUGUUCAGCUUGCAUUACUAUAUACAGUACUAACUAUUAUUGGAUUUUUGGCAACUCAUUGCAUGUGGAAUGAUGUGAUGUCAAAAAGGUUUGCCCACACCUGAUUCUGUGAUUUUUGUUGUGUUGUCUUUCCAUUUUUGUUGGGCAAUUACAGUUAGUUACUAUAAUUUUUCAUGAGUUCAGAGAUCCAAUCAGCUC